GAUGAACGCUGGCGGCGUGCCUAAUACAUGCAAGUCGAGCGAACGGACGAGAAGCUUGCUUCUCUGAUGUUAGCGGCGGACGGGUGAGUAACACGUGGAUAACCUACCUAUAAGACUGGGAUAACUUCGGGAAACCGGAGCUAAUACCGGAUAAUAUUUUGAACCGCAUGGUUCAAUAGUGAAAGACGGUCUUGCUGUCACUUAUAGAUGGAUCCGCGCUGCAUUAGCUAGUUGGUAAGGUAACGGCUUACCAAGGCAACGAUGCGUAGCCGACCUGAGAGGGUGAUCGGCCACACUGGAACUGAGACACGGUCCAGACUCCUACGGGAGGCAGCAGUAGGGAAUCUUCCGCAAUGGGCGAAAGCCUGACGGAGCAACGCCGCGUGAGUGAUGAAGGUCUUCGGAUCGUAAAACUCUGUUAUUAGGGAAGAACAAAUGUGUAAGUAACUAUGCACAUCUUGACGGUACCUAAUCAGAAAGCCACGGCUAACUACGUG
rnacentral:rRNA from 1 species